rnacentral:rRNA from 1 species
AGAGUUUGAUCAUGGCUCAGAAUCAACGCUGGCGGCGUGCCUAACACAUGCAAGUCGCACGAGAAAGUGGGAGCAAUCCCAUGAGUACAGUGGCGUACGGGUGAGUAACACGUGACUAACCUACCCUAAAGUGGGGGAUAACCUCGGGAAACCGGGGCUAAUACCGCAUAACCUCGCGAGGUGAAACUCCUUGCGAGCAAAGCAGCAGUGCGCUUAUGGGGGGGGUCGCGGCUGAUUAGCUAGUUGGCGGGGUAACGGCCCACCAAGGCAAUGAUCAGUAUCCGGCCUGAGAGGGCGCACGGACACACUGGAACUGAAACACGGUCCAGACUCCUACGGGAGGCAGCAGUGGGGAAUUUUGCGCAAUGGGGGAAACCCUGACGCAGCAACGCCGCGUGGAGGAUGAAGUCCCUUGGGACGUAAACUCCUUUCGAUCGGGACGAUUAUGACGGUACCGGAAGAAGAAGCCCCGGCUAACUUCGUGCCAGCAGCCGCGGUAAUACGAGGGGGGCAAGCGUUGUUCGGAAUUAUUGGGCGUAAAGGGCGCGUAGGCGGUGCGGUAAGUCUUCUGUGAAAUCUCCGGGCUCAACUCGGAGCCUGCAGAGGAAACUGCCGUGCUGGAGUGUGGGAGAGGAGAGUGGAAUUCCCGGUGUAGCGGUGAAAUGCGUAGAUAUCGGGAGGAACACCCGUGGCGAAAGCGGCUCUCUGGACCACUACUGACGCUGAGGCGCGAAAGCUAGGGGAGCAAACAGGAUUAGAUACCCUAGUAGUCC